rnacentral:rRNA from 1 species
UACAGAGGUCUCAAGCGUUGUUCGGAUUCAUUGGGCGUAAAGGGUGCGUAGGUGGCGCUGUAAGUCGGGUGUGAAAUUUCGGAGCUUAACUCCGAAACUGCAUUCGAUACUGCGGUGCUUGAGGACUGGAGAGGAGACUGGAAUUCAUGGUGUAGCAGUGAAAUGCGUAGAGAUCAUGAGGAAGACCAGUGGCGAAGGCGGGUCUCUGGGCCAUUACUGACGCUGAGGAGCGAAAGCGUGGGGAGCGAACAGG